CCCUAGUAUUUGAUAAAUUUAUUAAUUAGUAUAAUAUACAGAAAAUUAAUGAUUUUGGCGGUUAAUCUAUUAAUCAAAGGAGCUUGUUUUUGGGAUAAGAAUUUACUCUUUGUAUUUAUCUAUUUAUUAAGGGCUAUUCAUCUCCGUUAUAAAAUGAAUUGAUUAUUAAAACAAUUUAUUUAAUAUUUCAGGUCAAGAUGUACCUUUAUAUAGGAGUAAAAAUUAGCUACAGUUAGGGAAAAGAAAAAGGAUUUUAAAGAUUAGUGUGCGGGGUUUUUAUAUAAAAUGGAAGUGAAACAAAAAACUAAAAAUUUUGGGUCCAAGUCUUUUUUAUCUUUUAUAAGGUGGGCUUUUUACAAUAUAGAAUAUUUAAUUGUGGAGUCUUUAGGAGGAAGUGAAACAAUAAAAUUCUGGGCAUCAGAACUCUUACAAUUUUAUAUAAAGAAACUCGGGUUUUAUAAAUAUAGAAUAGUAUUUAUUAGACGGAUUUAGGGCAGAAGAAAUCUUAUUGAAUUUGGUUGUAAUAAUAAUUAUAAAAUUAUUAUGAAUAGGGUUAAUUAAUGUACAUAUCGCCCGUCACUUCUCUCUAGUUUAAUUUUAGCAAUGGGAGAAUAAGUCGUAACAAA
rnacentral:rRNA from 1 species